CCUACGGGAGGCAGCAGUGAGGAAUUUUCCGCAAUGGGCGAAAGCCUGACGGAGCAAUGCCGCGUGAAGGAUGAAUGCCUAUGGGUUGUAAACUUCUUUUCUCAGAGAAGAAUUUUGACGGUAUCUGAGGAAUAAGCAUCGGCUAACUCUGUGCCAGUAGCCGCGGUAAGACAGAGGAUGCAAGCGUUAUCCGGAUUGAUUGGGCGUAAAGCGUCUGUAGGUGGUUUAUCCAGUCUUCUGUCAAAGAUCAGGGCUUAACCUUGGAUAGGCAGGAGAAACUAAUAGACUAGAGUUCGGUAGGGGCAGAGGGAAUUCCCGGUGGAGCGGUGAAAUGCGUAGAGAUCGGGAGGAACACCAAAGGCGAAAGCACUCUGCUGGGCCGCGACUGACACUGAGAGACAAAAGCGAGGGGAGCAAAUGGGAUUAGAUACCCCAGUAGUCCUCGCCGUAAACGAUGGAUACUAGGUGUUGGGUGAUAUUACAUUCAGUACCGUAGCUAACGCGUGAAGUAUCCCGCCUGGGGAGUAUGCUCGCAAGAGUGAAACUCAAAUGAAUUGACGGA
rnacentral:rRNA from 1 species